GAUGAACGCUGGCGGCGUGCCUAAUACAUGCAAGUCGAGCGAACAGAUGAGAAGCUUGCUCCUCUGACGUUAGCGGCGGACGGGUGAGUAACACGUGGAUAACCUACCUAUAAGACUGGGAUAACUUCGGGAAACCGGAGCUAAUACCGGAUAAUAUAUUGAACCGCAUGGUUCAAUAGUGAAAGACGGUUUUGCUGUCACUUAUAGAUGGAUCCGCGCCGCAUUAGCUAGUUGGUAAGGUAACGGCUUACCUAGGCAACGAUGCGUAGCCGACCUGAGAGGGUGAUCGGCCACACUGGAACUGAGACACGGUCCAGACUCCUACGGGAGGCAGCAGUAGGGAAUCUUCCGCAAUGGGCGAAAGCCUGACGGAGCAACGCCGCGUGAGUGAUGAAGGUCUUCGGAUCGUAAAACUCUGUUAUUAGGGAAGAACAAAUGUGUAGGUAACUAUGCACGUCUUGACGGUACCUAAUCAGAAAGCCACGGCUAACUACGUG
rnacentral:rRNA from 1 species